rnacentral:rRNA from 1 species
UACGGAGGAUGCGAGCGUUAUCCGGAUUUAUUGGGUUUAGAGGGUGCGUAGGCGGAUCGUUAAGUCAGUGGUCAAAUUGAGGGGCUCAACCCCUUCCCGCCAUUGAAACUGGCGAUCUUGAGUGGAAGAGAAGUAUGCGGAAUGCGUGGUGUAGCGGUGAAAUGCAUAGAUAUCACGCAGAACCCCGAUUGCGAAGGCAGCAUGCCGGCUUCCGACUGACGCUGAAGCACGAAAGCGUGGGGAUCGAACAGG